rnacentral:tRNA from 1 species
GGUUGUUUGGCCGAGCGGUCUAAGGCGCCUGAUUCAAGAAAUAUCUUGACUGCAGUUAACUGUGGGAAUAAUCAGGUAUCGUAAGAUGCAAGAGUUCGAAUCUCUUAGCAACCA